rnacentral:rRNA from 1 species
GGGUUCAAGUUAAAUUGGCACCCUAUUUAUUCACUAAUGAUCCUUUCCGUAGGUGAACCUGCGGAAGGAUCAUUAGUGAAUAAAUAGGGUGUCCAAUUUAACUUGGAACCCGACCUUCUCACAUCUAACCCUGUGCAUCUGUAUUAAUGGCGAGCAAUUUUCGGAUUGUGAGCCAUUUCACUUUAUAAACACUAGUCUAUGAAUGUAAAAUUUUUAUAACAAAUAAAAACUUUCAACAACGGAUCUCUUGGCUCUCGCAUCGAUGAAGAACGCAGCGAAAUGCGAUACGUAAUGUGAAUUGCAGAAUUCAGUGAAUCAUCGAAUCUUUGAACGCAUCUUGCGCUCUCUGGUAUUCCGGAGAGCAUGUCUGUUUGAGUGUCAUGAAUUCUUCAACCCAACUGUUUCUUGUAAACAGCUGGUGUUUGGAUUCUGAGCGCUGCUGGCUUCGUGCCUAGCUCGUUCGUAAUACAUCAGCAUCCCUAAUACAAGUUUGGAUUGACUUGGCGUAAUAGACUAUUCGCUAAGGAUUCAAUGUUCGCAUUGAGCCAACUUAAUUAUGGAAGCUUCUAAUUGAAAAGUCUACCUUUAGAUUAGAUCUCAAAUCAGGCAGGAUUACCCGCUGAACUUAAGCAUAUCAAUAAGCGGGAGGAAAA